rnacentral:rRNA from 1 species
GAUGAACGCUGGCGGCGUGCCUAAUACAUGCAAGUCGAGCGAACGGACGAGAAGCUUGCUUUUCUGAUGUUAGCGGCGGACGGGUGAGUAACACGUGGAUAACCUACCUAUAAGACUGGGAUAACUUCGGGAAACCGGAGCUAAUACCGGAUAAUAUUUUGAACCGCAUGGUUCAAAAGUGAAAGACGGUCUUGCUGUCACUUAUAGAUGGAUCCGCGCUGCAUUAGCUAGUUGGUAAGGUAACGGCUUACCAAGGCAACGAUGCAUAGCCGACCUGAGAGGGGAUUAGGCCACACUGAAAUGGAGAAAGGGCCCAAAUCCCAACGGAGGCAGCAGUAGGGAAUCUUCCGCAAUGGGCGAAAGCCUGACGGAGCAACGCCGCGUGAGUGAUGGAGGUCUUCGGAUCGUAAAACUCUGUUAUUAGGGAAGAACAUAUGUGUAAGUAACUGUGCACAUCUUGACGGUACCUAAUCAGAAAGCCACGGCUAACUACGUG